AUUUCUACGCGGCAUGUUUUUUAUUUAGUGAAACAAAAUUUACGUUUUAUCACAGUUAUUAGAACACCACGCGUUGGACAGCACGUCUUUGUUUUAAUUAUAUCUGUAAGAGUGCAAGUGUGAAACUGAAAUUGUUUCUGAACCAAAGUAUUUGUCUUAUGUGUUUCGACCCGAAUACUGUCCAGACGUGUUUAACAGAAAACAUGUGUGAAAAACACGCGUAAUCUUCCCGCCUUGUAUUUGGAUGCUUGGCCUAGACAGUCAAUGGAAUAAAAGAUUCAAGGACUAUGGUUGACAACGCCAGUGCAUAUUAAGCCUACGCAAUAUCUUAAGUGCUCACCGACCGCAGCUCUCCCACUCGAUAACGCCUCGGGGAUCGCCAUCUAUAAAAUAAAGAAUCCGAUUUAUUACAAGCCUGAAUUUUCAAAACGAAAGGGUUACAUCGAUAGUAUACAUUGACCGCUAUUCAAUUGUAUGUACUUUAGGUGAAAUGAGAUAAGAUAUGUACAAUACACAACUCCAGGGAAAUAAUUUUAGAAAAUACAACUCGCAGAACAAUGUAUCUUUUGUUAACACAAAAGCCAAUCACGGAUCGCUAAACUUGCGAAAAGACAGGAUUGGCUUGCAAAAAUUAUAUUCGCAAACAUACGACCGGUAGCGAAGUGGACUUUAUUUUUACAGCUCCUCCAGCAAGGUGGGACCACAAUAGCCCGCACAGUCUUUUGUCCGAAGCCAUUGUGUCACAUAAAGGAUAAAUUACAAAAGCUUCGCCAUUCGUAAAGAAGACAACAAUUUUAAGUCUCCGUGUGCGUCAGGCUCCCAAGGGAUUCAGUAGAAUAGAAUAAAAAAGCAAGGGCGCAUUAUAUUUGUAAUUUACGGCCCGAGCGACUCAAAUUACACCAGGCCUGCAGUGCAGUCAGCAUUGCACAAACGAAAUGAUCACAGGAAGCCUAAAACACCGAGGUUUGAGAUGGCGAUGCGCCGCGAUGAGAUAAAGCACGUGACUUACCGGUCGGUCAGCUGUUCGCGGCGUGCCGACAAGUAAACAUUGAAGGAUGGUGAGGGCGCGCGAGCGAGGGACGUGUGGCCAGGCUCGGCGUCUCCGGGCGUCUGUCGGUCUGGCGUCGGGGCGCGCGUCCCGGCCCGCCAUCGAUUACUGCCGCCCUCGCUGGCCGCGGCGCGCGCCGCACCACAGGACGACUAAUCCCGAUGCAAGAUUUCAUUACAUACGCCAUGAUCGUUGUUAUUUGCACCCCGUAAUGUUUUUUGAUAGUUUACUUAGGCCUCUGUUGACUUUUUCCCAUAUUUACAUGCGUGUUUAGAUUCAGUACAGCAAUAUUAUUUUGUCGUCUGCUAGGGUAAUAUGUUGAUGAAAAUAUCGAUAAACUGAUAGCCUGCGCCACCUGUUUCGCUCGCUAAAAAGCAAAGAUUGUAUCUAUGGGGCCCGUUUCCUUCGUAAAUGUGCGAUGUUCGCUUCCUGUAUAGCUUAGUGAUAAGACAGUAUUUAUCUUGAAUAAAUAUAAUUCAAGCUACGUUAAAAAUGAAUCAUUUAAAGCAAGUAGAUGGAGUCGUGCGUCUACCAAUUUAAUAUUUUUUAUUUAAAAAUAACUUAAAAAUGUAGUCAAUAUAUAUAAAUUAUAUGUCAAUAUAUUAAGAUAUACAUAUUUGUUGUCUAGCUUGCCUUGAUAGAUAUAUUAUAAUUACCAUUUCUUGGUUUCUAUCAAGGUUUUAGAAUAAAUGAAAUUGUUAAUAGCUUUGUAAUAUAUUAUUAGUUUAAUUAAUGUUUCUUUAUGUAAACUAAGACUAUAAUAUUUAUUAAAGAAAUGAAGUCGCUAUCUCUUUAUUGUGUACCCUGGAAAUUGUAUAAUAAAAUCGUUAGCAAAACAUCGACGGCAACGAAGAGAAAAUAUGAUAAGCCUCCGAAAACACUAAGGCCUUAAAAUAAUGAAAAAUGUAAAAUGUUGUCCUUUCUUUGUGACUCUAUACAAUAUUGUGAAGCUAUAGAUUAUACUAGUCAGGUAU